ensembl:snRNA U6 U6 spliceosomal RNA
GUGUUUACUUUGGCAGCCCAUUUUCUAAAAUUGGAAUGACACAAAACAGGCUAGCAUGGCCCCUGCACAAAAAUGACAGGAAAUUUUGUGAAGCAGCCUAUAUUUUU